CGCGGGCCCCCGCCGAUAGGAGAAGUCAGUGGACUCCCCCGGCCCCAAGGGACGAGGGCUCAGCAGGCCCAGUCGGGGCCUGGAGACCAGCGGCUGGGAGCAGGCCACCGCGGGCGUGCCAGGAGGUCCUGAGGGGCAGGCUUGAUAUGGCCUUUGUUUGCAGUGAGCUGCACCUGCUUGCUCCUUGCCGAAGCUCCAGGAAGCACGAAUGCUGGCCCUGAGGUGAGAUUCCUCCUCUGGCCCUCGGGGGCUGCUCUCCUCCUCCCUUUGCAUGCCUGCUUUGCACUCGGCAUUCACCUAGACUCUGGAAGUGUAAGUGAUCCCAAAGGUCAGGGAAUGUCCACCACCCCUCCAGCUGGAGGCUGCCCUCCACCCGCAGGCCCGCCACCUGGGAGGAGUGGUCCCCGAGGAGGAGGUGCCCUUGCGUCCAGCACUCUGCCCCUGAGAAUGGGCUCCUUCUCAUCCCUGUGAUUCCCUCUGUCACCGCUUGGCUGUAGUUCCGUGUCCUGACCUUUCUGAAGAGGAGGCCCGGCAGCCGUGCAGCAGCAAGAGGACAGCGAGCCUUGUUUCUUCGGCCCCAGUCUCCCUUUUCCUCCCAAUCCUCAUGUGGCCUGCUUCCAACAGGCAGACUCCACUGCUCCUCUUGCUCCCUGUCCCCUGGGCAGCUCCAGUUGGCUGCAUCCCUCUCAGUACGGCCUGGAUCACGUGCUCCAACCUGAGAACUGUACUUAUUUCUGCUUUGUCUUAGUGACGCUCCAAGUCCACAGGAGGAAGCUGCAUCACAAGGCACCUGCAGUCACCCACGAGCUACUUUGCCGCCACUGCUUAGGUGUGGUGCCUGCACACAGAGGGUGGCCCAGCCGAGUUGGAACCUUGGGAGUUUCCGUGAACUUCUGGCAACCUCCUCACUUGCAUUCAUAUCACAAGCCAGAAAAGCACCUUCAAUCGGGGGCGGGGCGAGGCUCAAUUCCAUGUUUCCAUCUUCUGAGUUUCAGUAACAUCUUCUUUACUGUCCUCAGUCUCUGAGCAAACAAGCAACGACCGCCGCGCCAGGCCCUCCACAGCUUGAGGGACGGCAUCCAAACGUCACACUGUGGCUGAGUGACAGUGUAUGGUCCAGCUUAUUUGUUUACGAGAUUCAGGUGUGGGGGAUCUGGAGCACGUGUUGCCAUCCCAUAGCUAUGGUGAUGGGGGCUUGAAUGGGUGGACUAAUGCACUCUGUUGCAGAAGACCCACUCGGCUAACUCCUGAGUAUCUGCAUGCUCGCUGUGGCAACUUUGGAAAGUACAGAAAGUAUACGAAGAAUCAGGACAAAGGUUGCUCAGGAGGCACUGCCCGGAGGCGUGAAUGCUCACAGUUUGGGUCUAUUUCCCCACUUCUGUUUUUGCUGAGGAAGAUUAGCAUUGAGCUAGCAACUGUGCCAAUCUCCCUCCAAUUUAUAUGUGGGUCGCUGCCAUAGCGUGGCUGGUGAGUGCCCCAGAAUCCAAACCUGUGCCCCUGGGCUGCCGAAGCCUAGGGCGCUGAACUUAACCACUAUGCCAUGGGGCUGACCCUCCCCCCAUUCUUUUUCCGUGUAGUUCCUCUUUACUCAGUCGAGCUCCUGCUGUGUGACCAUUCUGUCUUAUGUUUUUUCGUUUAACGUUAAGUGUUAUCCCAUGUUCUGAAAGAGUCCUCAGAAGACAUCUCACUCAGCUCUCCACCUUGUUGUGGAGUGUAUUGGAUUCCAGGCUCUCCCCACUCAAGCCCGACUGACAGAUGCUUGAGAAUGGCCCAGCACACCUUGGACCCAGUGACGUCCUCUGGUCAGAAACUCCAGCAUGGGGGUCCUCCUGAAGUGGACGCGGAGACCGAGUUUAUUGAGACUCCAGUGUCAAUGUCGGGUUGGACGCUGUGUCCAACAGCCUCCCACGGUCUGGUAAUCCCAUUUCCCAGCGUUCAGUCCCCCAGUGCAUAACUGGAGGUCCCUUUGGGAGGGGUUGGGGGGUCAUUCCCGUGCAUACUUGCCAUGGCACUGCAGUGUCCUUCCCCCUGGGGUCCUGGCCACCUCCCUAGUCCACGGUUCCAGGUCAGAAAACUGGCUCAGGGGCAGAACCUGGGCAAGGGAUCAUGACUUUGUUGGGGUGGCUGCCCUCAGCCACCUGCUGUGUGUUCUUGCUCUUUAGAGGGUCCAUUUUAGGCUGCACCUUGGUGGGUUGCCCAUCCAUUGUGCCCCCAGGGAGGCCGUGUGGUAUUGACCCCCUCUGCCGCUGGAGGGGUCAGGCCUCCUUGCCAGUGGUGUCCAUCAGUGUCAGCCCCCGCAUGCUGGCCGUUCAGUGCCACCCUGGGACCUCUACUGCCGUUCAUGGGUCAGGCGGUUGUGCAGUUCCUUUCCUCCCUUAGCAGGCUUGGCACAUCCUGCCUGUGUUGUGUGGUGACUUCACUCUGGUUGGGGCCCUGGCAGGAAGUUGACCAACUCUUCCUGGUUUUCCUGGGACUCUCCUGGUUUUAGAACUGCAAGUCCUACAGUAAACCAGGAUGGCUGGUCACUCUACCUUCUGGGAUGGAAGGCACCCAUGGAGAAAGAUGUGCAGGCUUUUUGCUCCCUCAGCGAUGGGAUGGGUGCAUUAGCUCUUUAUGGGAAGGAAUGGGCCACUGCUCCAGGCUCAGAGGUUUCAGAGGCAUCUGGGGAGUCUAGCUCUUCCAGGGCCCUUGCCCGGAUGUGCCUGUUUCUUGUGUCAGGGGUGUGGGUUUUCCCAAUGGGGCUUCUGAUGUUGGCCUGACGGACCUGCCUUGGUGAACGUUCAGCUGUCUUUGAAGUUCAGCCACUCCUAUCAAAUCCUGGGUUUGCCCUUCGUCCACUGCCUGAGAUGGGGCGACUUUGCAACCUACUGAGGAGACUCUGGGGCUCCCCCUUAGUUUUCACUCUGUUAAUCACCCCGGGAUUCUCAUCACCCUGCCAGUCAUCAAAGCAAGAGGGUCACCUCCAUCCAUUCCCCUUGUCCUUCGAGUUGUCCUUCCUGUACGUGCCACACGCCUGGGUCCCCUCACCUGCCGGCAAAUUCCUCUCCACCCGCCAGCCCAGCAAAAAGUUCUGACAGGAACGUGCUAGCCACUGGGCUGUCUGCACACCACCAACCCCCGGGAUGAGGUCCUCGUUACCACUGGGGCAGGUGAUGAGCAAUCCCGCACCAAGACCCUGUCUUAGCAUCUGCUUUUGGACCACUCGAGAAGCAACUGUCUCAGGUGGAAUCUUUCAGGAAGCUGCCCCCUGAGAGGGAGUGAGGCGUGCCAAAGGCUGACUGGGGAAUAACACCCACGAAGGGAGCAGGGAGAAGCAGGGCUGGACAGGUUGUCCCUUCAGCCUGUGACACCGAGCUGACAGUCUCUCCCUGCCCAUCGGGGAGCUGCAGAGCAGGGAUCGGCCCUCAAGGACCUGUACUCGGCGGGGUAGUUAGGCCCUCACUGUGCCUGAGGCCUUGCAAUCCAGGUGGACUGAACGGGUCAAUCAACACCCAAAAUUGGUGCCCCAGGAAUGGGUGCAUACCAAGUAGCACACAUAGGGCACCAGGUGCCUUUCCUCGGGCAAAACCGCGCUCCACACUGCGGCCGGCCUGGUGGGAGGUGCUUCGGCUUCUUGUGCAUCAGGAGACUGCUGGGUUUGGAAGGGGGUGUGCUUCCAGGGCGUUUCCCAGCUGAGCGUCUGUUAGCAUCACUGUAAGCCCAGGCUGAUGGGAGAGGGCAGACCUGGGUAGGGAACAGCACAGGGCAAAGCAGAGUUGUCAGCAGACACCCGUCCUGUAAGAGGCUCCUUGACGGUGCAGGUCCACAGGCGCACUCAGCUCUGCGUCCCUCAGGGCUGGUGGGGGCAUCUUCCAGGCAGUCCUGUAAACCACCUGAUCUGAAUCGAGGCCCUAUGGGUUCAGGAAAACUUGAAGGGGAAGGAACCACUGACUCGGGGCAAGGAGCUGCGGAAGGCCUCAGAGAGAAGGACCAUUUCAUCUAGGUCUUGAGGGUGAAAAGGGUCUCCUUAGGUGGGAAAUGGGGGAAAGGCCCCCUGAAAGGGCCAGAUACAUUCAGGGAGCUGGGAGAAGAUUCCUGGCUGAGGCAGACUUGUUUGUGGUGUGAGUUCAUUGGAGAUGUGGCUGAGAAACUAUACUGGGUCUAACUCAUAGAGGCUGCCCUAAGAAUUCUGCGCUGUACUCUGGGUGCAACUGGUCUGUGCGCUCACUAACAGUGUUAAAGGCAAGUUUGCUUCUCUCCCUGAGAAGAAUUCAUUGAUUCUCUUGUUUGGUUAGUCAGUCAUUUGACAAACCUUUGGGUGCCUCUGAUGGGCCAGGCAGCGUGUAGACAACAAGGAAAGACAGGUGAAUAAGAUGCAGCCCUGGGUGGCCCAGGAGCAGCCUUCCACAGAUGAGCAGUGAUCCCUGCAGCAUGCUCCUGUCCUUGUUCUGAACAUAUGGGUCUUCUUUGGAGGCUGCCUCAUUCUCCUGGCUUGUGAUGAGCUUUCUAAUUCUUGUUCCUGACUUUAGAAGAAAGCUUGGAGAGAUGACAUUAGGUCUUUAAGUUCUGAGGACCGUGGAGGGGGUGGUGAGGAUGUUGGGGCUAGAUCCUCCUGGCCCCCACCAGAAAGUUGAUUUGCCCAUUGUGGCACCCUGAGUUGCCCAGACUGAGCAGAGUGGCUGCUGCCGACAACCCAUAGAAAGGAGGCGUGGUGUGAGUUCGCCCAGGCCAGCUUACGGAUGGCCUGAGCUCUGACAGCAUCCAGGGCCAGGAGAGCUUUGGCAGUGCAGGCCCCUCCCUCACUGCCACUGGACAUGCUGCCUUUGAAGGAGGAGGGUGAGUGGUGAAGACAAGACGAUGAAGGCAGGUGACCUUGGCAUAUUUUGUCACCCAACUUGAAUGUUCCCAAAUGAUACUUGGAGGAAGUUUUAGGAAAGGGGCCUGCUUUUUGUAUGAGAUGACACUAGCUAGGAUUUGACAGUAGUAAUGUGCUACUUGCUCAUUGUGCCAUCUAUUGCCUGACUCAUCCAACUUCAUUUUUAAUUGAAGGUGAUCGGUGGUCAGAGACUUGAUCAGCGAGUAGCUUCCAUGGCAGAAAGCUCCAUGCAAUGCUUGGGGGUUGUGAGUAUGAAAACAAAGUAUACUAAGACUAAUGUGUUGGUACACUGUAAAGUAUUCUCCUUUCCUUCCUCUGAGUAUUCCUGCCUUCUUGAUCUUUCUGACUUUCCCAAGACAAAGAGAUGUCAAAUAUAUAAUGAUGAAUAUUAAAACAAACAGACUCCUAAUGCUCAUUACUGUGAAGAUAUAGCAGUCUAGUUUGCGUUUUCCUUGUGAAGAGCCUAUACUGGGAGCCUAAAGGUUGGGAUGUGAGCCCAUUGUUUGCCUUCCAAGGGCCCAUGAGGACAGUAGCACUCCCUUUUUUGAUUUAUCUGUGUCCAUGUGGUUCAUAGGCUGGGCCAGUGCAUAUGGCCCACAGAGGGGCUGAAGGGUGUGUGGCCAGGAGGUGGUGGAAUGACGAUGUCCAGAGUUUGGGCUUUAGGGUCCGGGGACCUGGGUUUGGACAUCAACUCUUCUCUUCCUGUGACCUUGGAACUUAGUGUCUCUGUCCUCUCUUGUAAACCAGGUGGCACAAAUGCUGCUUCCCUCACAGGGCUGUUUCCAGAGCAGAGCCUUGUAUAUCAUGUCCUCUCCUGGUGAGGCUCGAGUUCUCAAUUUUUGCUUCUACUCUGCAGGUUGGAGGUUAUUCCAGAAACACUGACUAUGAAGAUUUUUCUUGGUUCCCAGGCUUUGUAAAUUUCAGAGUUUUCUAACAGUGGUCAAGGGACUAUGAUGUGAACUUGGCAAAAGUCCCUUAUGCUCUUUGGAAGAUCUCAGUUGUGCCAUGUAGAAAAUGAGAUGAUUGGUCUAGAAUAAUGGUUCUCACACUUUUGUUGCCGUGGAAUAUCUUGGUCUGGCCAGAGGUUCCACCCCGCAAACAGAUCAGAGGCAGGCUGCUCAGCUAAAGCAAGGCCCAAUCCACCCACUCCUUCUUCCCAAUCUCUCCUUGGGCCAUUCUCCAUAGAGGCCCAUAAAGCACGCCACAGAACACAGUUUGAAAACUGGUGUUCUAGAUCUGUGGUUCUCAAACUUUAAUGAGCAUUCAGAUCCCUCAGUGAUCUUGUCAGAUGUAGCUUCUGAUUCAGAAGUUCUGGGUGCACUGGAGAUUCUGCAUUUCUGACCAGAUCCCAGGUGAUGCCUAGGUGGCUGGUCCAUGCAUAGCAUUUUGAAAAGAAAAGUCUCAUCACAGAAUGCCUUGUACAUCUCAAAUCCUUUGAUUUUGAGUACUUAGUGAUACUCUGAUUAUAUCAUAAAUUGAAAAUUUGUAUAAGAUGAAUUUUUCUAUUGGGGGCAAAAUCCUCGAUUAUGCAGAUGUAGAAACUGACCUUCUGUGAUAUGAAGGAGACAGCAAAUAUUUGUUUCUCUCCCAACUUUGAAUGUAUGAAGCAUCUGUAAAAUAUUUUGUAAGGAGCGCAAUUUGAGUUAAGAGGUUGUUGAAUUAUCCAUGCGAUCAGGGAGAGUUGCACUUUUUUUGGUUGUAGUAUGGAUCCUAAGGACGUCUAAUUAUGGGAGUUAAUGGACACUUUUCCAAGGGAGCUUAUGGCAGAAACAAGUGUGACCUGCUCUCAGACUCUGGCCAAGGCCUAUCUCCGUGCUCUAAAUCUAAGUGAAAGUUUAGAAUUGUGGACAGCUGUUAGUGUGUCUGGUAUCAAUGUACUUUCUUGAUAAUCUUAAUGACAUGGCACUAGAAAGACGCCUUCAUGUAAAUGGCUUCUGUCCUUUCUAUCCAAUGCUGAGUUGAGUGUCCCCAGUUCAACGUUGGUAGAGUGCUCUGUCUUCCGCAUUCUUCACUGGCCUCUUCCUGUGUGUAUCCAGAAGAGCAGCUGCUGCUUUGACAGAUUAUAGGGCUUUGCUCAUCAGUCUUUGUUUCGUUUCACUAAUGUCAUUCCUGAAAUGGGAAGCCCACUUUAGGAACGAGAUAAAGAACCCAGUUGCUAGAGUGGCCAAUGUGUUUAAAUGUCAUUUGUCCUAUGUGGAAUGUCACAGAAGAGCAGAGUGCUCUUUGGGCUUUGCCCCAGCCCUUUGUUAAGAAGGAUGGAAACUUUCCCAUGGGGAUAGAGGUAGUGUGUGCACCAUCUGAGAAAGUAAAGGAAGACUGAAUGCCAGGUAGGCUGGAUCCCCGACUUCUGGUACAAAAUCAGCAGGGAAAAGUAGAGGGACCAUAGAUAGAAUCCUUAAGGAAAAGAAGUUUCUGGAAGAAUAUCCUGUUCAGAUGUUUCCUGAGCUCUCUCAAAGCUGAGGCCUUUGCUCACAUGACACAAGCAGAUUUCUAACCCCUCUCUGGGCCCCUUUGAUCGUGGUCUCCCCUGUAGCAUAACCGUGAUUCCUAAAACACAACCUUGCCCAGGGGUUGUCCUGGCUCCCAAUGCUUGGCAUUCAAGUGCCUGAACCUCUUUGGCCUCAGUUUGCCCAUCUGUCAAAUGAGGAUAAUAAAAACAGUCCUCAACCCAUGGGGUUACUCUGAGCAGUGAAUGGGCUUGGGCUCAGCCAAGACCCUGUAAACUUAAUGAGGCUAUGAUCAUAACAUGAUCUUGCUCAAGGUGGCCCUCCCCUGCCUUCUCGAUCAUAGCUGCCGCCUCCACUCCCACAGCCUGGGCUCUUCUCCGGUUUCCAGCACUUGGUGCCACUGCCCUCCAUAUUGCUGCCUCAUGGUGAAUGCCCUCACUCCUCACUUCCUAUGUCUUCAUGAACCCUCGGAGGCCAGCUUCAAGGACUGCUCCUUCCUGACAACCUUCCAGAACCCUAUCUGUAGUACUCUUUUCGUGUAAAGUUACCUUGAGUGGUUUCCAUUUCAUGUGCAUAUGUGUGUGCCCUGUUACCCGAGCUAGACUGGAAUCUCUCUGAGGACAAGGACCCUGCCCAGUUCACUUUUGUAUGGUCCCCAGAGGAGACACUCAGUAUAUGUUGACUGAUGAUGAUGAUAAACUGUUCAGUUGGAGUGAUCCAGCAUGGUAGAGCUACUCUCUACUAUGGUAAGCUACUAUACCAUACUGGAGCUGGCAGAUCAGUGAGAUAGGCCCUGCCUUGGAGUCAGUGCAUGUUAGUUGGGUAGGAAAGGCAAGUAUGUCAGACACUCUUUUGAGGCAGGACCAGAUAACUGUCCACAGAAAGACUAUCUGUGAAGUGUUACUAGGCCUCAGGAGAGGGCAGGAUGUAUCUCCUUGGGAGAUCUGGAAGGCUCCAGAGGGAGGCUGGCUCUGAGCUGUGUGCUGAAAUCUGGGCAGGGUUUUGAUGGUGGUGAUACAGGAGUCCCCUCCUGACAAGUCAGCUUUAGGCUGGGAGGACAGGAGAUCAGAGGCCAUAAGGAACAAUAGCUCAGGCAAAGGAAGUGGGGCAAAGGUGCUUCUCACAUCUUAUCUCCUUUGGUCCUUGAAUCAACCUGGUGAGAUAGGUGCUGUUAGAUCCACAAGACAGAUGAGGAAACUGAGCAUAGAGGCCGAGGGACUUGGCUAAGCUCUCUCAGAUGGCUGAGAGGGAGUUGGGAUUCAGGAUCAGCCAACCCAGAAUCCUGCCAAACAAGUUGAGAACACAGGACAUGCACUCUGAGCCUGAUGCCAAGGCUAAGAGCCUGCUGCCCUGAUUUACGCUCCUGAAGUGUGGGGCUGGCCCUGGGCCCUGCGUGUGUUCUUGGCCAAGUCCCUUUGUUAGGCAUCUCGAUUCCCAUCUGCAAAGCAAGGGGCUCAGCUUCAAGGACUGCUUCAGCUCUUUCCAGCUCCAGUGCUGUGUGAUUCUGGGACUUUGAACUGUGUUGCUUGUCCAUGAGCUAGUCCACAUCUUCCUUCAGAUUGCAGGAGGGACUGUCGCACUUGGGUCAAAAGAGUAUGCAUUUAACAGAAUAUGCUUUAUCAUGGCAAACAAAGAGUCAAGUUGGUUUAUUCAGCUGUGGCUGGUGCUCAAGUGCGAGGAGAGGCUGAAUCAGAGGGGAGCUUAAUGGCCUGCUGUGCUGCACAGCUGUCCAAAGGCACCAUCCUUACGUUUUCAUCCUUAAUACUGCAGCCGAUAACUGCCAAAUCCAGCAUAUACGUUUAUCCCCAUGCUUGAGAGUCCUGCUGAUGGAUUCUCCAGAGUGACCUGGGGUACCAGAGUUGCCAUCAAGUCUGUCACUUGCUUCUGAGGAUCUGUGUAGUCCAAGGCCAUGUGACUUUAAAAACCGCAUACCUCUUUACAUUGCUGCCAAUCUCUUCCAUAUAUAUCUUUUUACUAGGAUAGAGUAGGGCUUGGACAGGGGUCAGUGGGGAGAUGAGGGGUACAACUGUUACCUAGAGUCACAGCAGAUCUACCCUUGCUUUCCUCCCUCUUUCGGACAUUUUGAUGGUUGCUCAUGUCCCCUUCUCCCUCCUUCCUUCUCCCUUCCUAGCAAAACUACUUACUGGAGUACAUCUUAUUUGUAAAAUGACCAUUAUUCAUAUCAAAUAAAAACCAAAGAAGUACUGUCAGUUUCCCCUUAGAAUAUCAACAAGACCACUGCUUUACACUGCUUGUACAUUAGAGAGAGAAGAGUCAGUGAGUUGGCAUGUUCUAAGCGUUCCAACUAUAUGCAGAGAGGUAGUUUGGCACAGCUCCUGUGCUGUUGUCUCCACUGUAGCAAAGCAAAGCUAACAUUCCUACAAGGCUUUUCAGUUCCUACAAAGCUUUGCAGUUCACAGCAUGCUUUCCCAUGGGUCUUUGUGUUCUGGUUCUGGAAGAAUGCCUCUCCAGUUCCUUUUCCUCAUCCUAGUAUCACAUUGCAUUCUCCAUGGGCUCCUCGGACUGCAUUAUCAUUCUCUUCACUUUAGAGAUGAGGCAGCUGAGCUCAGAGAGGGGAAGUGAUUUAUCUUAGGUUGUGCAGUAAGUGACAGAGGCAGGACUCAACCAGUUCUUCUGAUUCUGACUAUGGUGAUCUGCUCCCUGUACCCACAGAGGGCAGAGAGUGGCAUGUGGUACCUAGAAGGCCUGUUAAAGCUUGGGAAAUAUUCGAUGCUGGGCUGUAGUUUGAGAAUUCAAUCUUAACCAAUUCAGAACGUUGUCUUUCUUAACUCUCUCCUUGGUUCCUGGAUUUCUCAAUUCAAUUCUGUGCCUGCCCAGCACAGUUCCUCUCUGCCUGUGGUUCAAGAAGCCUGACUCCUCUGAACUACUUCCUCCUGUUGUCCACUCAUUGUCUACCAAACCUCACACUAGAUUUCUCACCUCAGCCAUGGAAGAAAGACAGCUUUGUAGUUGGAGUCCUUGUGUUGUGUCCCAGCUCAGGCUAUCUUUCCAUUCCUAGGUCGUUUGCUGGUCACUCAUUCAAGGGUGCUUUUGCACUCUGGUUAUCUGGAAUUCACCCUGAUUUUCUUAUCCUUGCUUCUGGUUGUGUACUCUCCUCCCUUCUGCCUUAUUAUCUGGGUCCCAAGCCUUUUCUUAGUGUUUGGUUUCUCUUCUGUAACUUUCUGGACCAGACACUGAUGCACAGUGAAGCUAGUGAAGUUUGAGAUUAAACUUCAGGGUCACGGGCUUGCACAGGGCUGGAAGGAGCCCUAGCAUUAUGGUUUAUGAUAGUUGUAUGGUUUAUAAAAUCUACAAAAGAUAUUUUAGCCACAGUUGGUUCAGGGCGCCUCUCUUUCCCUUCUGCUGUCUCUCUCACUUGAUCUCGUGUUGGGUCGCAAUGCAAUGGCCGGAGGUAUAUUGGAAAUCUAGCUAACAAGACAUUAAAUUGGGAUAUAUUUAGUUUGGACUUGGGGAGACAUUUAAGGGGCUCACAACCAAUUCUGUACCUGUUCAAGUUAUUGCUAGCUGCUCUGUAUUGAAACUGCUUCCAGGAAUACUGCUUACUGUGCUGAUGCACGCAGUGUCAGUACAGGAGGGGUGGGGCUGGAGAGUACAUUGUGAUGUCACUGUGCUUGACAACACUAGGUGCCGGAAGUAUGUUGGCAGUGGAGGAGAAUCAAGGCUCACAAUGUAUGGAGCCAGAAGCUAGUCUGUGGAAAAGUCUUCCAGCCACGAAUCAGAUAUGUGAAAUCAACAAGUGCAAGUUCUUUCCUGUCAGGAAUAUACUCAGUGUACAGCGUAUGCAGUCAUAAACACAACAUACAUUUAUAUUAACAUUUUCACGGGAGUUCUGUCAAAAGGAAUUUUUCAGAACUCCUGUGAUUGUAAGGCACAGACAUGUAGCAGAAGUACAAACGUUGAGUAGCGUGCAGAAGAGAGUUAAUAUGGCAGGCCUGUGACUACCGUCCUUAGAAAGGCCUGCUUGUAAGGGUGGCCCUGUGCUGGCAUCUGGGAACUUGGUUCUCAGAGUGUCCCUAGUUAACAGGAAACUGAUGAGAGUGGCUUACUGUGCUUAGAUUGUUUAUACAAACAAUGUGGUUUAUGCUGAACACCUGCUUUCCUCCUGGGAGUCUGGAAUUUUGGUGCAAGCUAGGUAGAAGGUACCUACGUGACCAGCCCCGAAUAAAAAUCAUGGGUGCUGAGUCUGGGUCUCCCUGGGCAGCAACAUCACACAUGUGUCCCUGCAUUUUCAUUGCUGAGGGAAGAUUGUGUUCUGUGUGGCCCCUCAUGGGAGAAAAAGGGCAUAAGGAAGUCUACACAUGGAUUCCUCCUGGCUCUGCCUGUGUCUUUUCCCCUUGUGAUCCGUCUGUGUGUCCCCACUGUAAUUGCUGUAAUAAAUCUUAGCUGUGAGUACAACUAUAUGCUGAGUCCUGAGUCUUCAACUAUAACAGACAAGAAAAGUGGGAAUGAUAUAGAGGUGUAUCAGGCAGUUGAUUAAUAAAAAUAUAGUUGUAUUUAUUAUAUCAUUUUUCCUGAAUUUUGAGAUGUCUAACAUUUGUUGACCUUUUCAAAUGUGUACUCUAUUGUAUUUCUUUUCUCAUUUUAUACAUGUACUUUUGUUCCUAAUUUUGUAUUGGUAAUUUUGUAUUCUUAUCCUUAAAGAGAGCUCCAAGUAUUAUAAGCUUCAGGUCCCACGAAACCUGGAUCUCCCUUUGUCAUGGAUCCAAGACUUGCUACCUCUUGUUGAUUUUGUUAUUGUUACCCCGUAUUUCACAGGUAGGGAAAUUAAAACCUAAGAGUGGAAGUCAGGCUCACUUGGCAAAACUGGGACAGGAUCCAGGUCUUCCAACUCCCAACUUAAUGCUCUUCCCUCCAUUUCAUAAAGUAUCUUGAUAAUUUGUACGUGAGCAGUGGUCAUGGCGCAUUGGAUAUAUACUGGAUGGCACUUAGGAGACUGAAGUUCUAGUCCCUUCUUUUUCAGUAAAUGGCUAAUCUUGAAUGAGUCCUUUCCAUUCUAGGACACAUGUCCCCCUUUUGUAAAACAAGGGAGCUGGACUAGAUGCUCUUUAGAGGCCUUUCUCUCUCUGAUGUUUCUUGAGUUUAUCAUUAUAGAAAUGCUGAAUCACAUAAUCAUGGUUGAAACCAUUCAUCAUAUAGUCCUUGGGUCUUCUCCAUCUCUAAAAACAAAAAUAAAAUACCUACCUCUCUCAGUUGUUGUGAAGCCCCUGGCCCUGUUCGUGAUAGAGCAAGUAAUCAAAAGUUGCCUCCACCCACCUUUCCAAUCAGGGACAAAGGUUUUCAUGUAUAAUUCUUGCUCCUCCCCUUUGGAAUCAGAGAAUCUUUGAUCAGCAAACCUAAAUUCUAAAAAGGAAAGAAAAUGAAAUGUACAUACUCUGCUUUUAAAACUUUUUAAAUGAAGUGUAAUUUGCAAACAGAAAAAAUGCACAAAUAUUAAAUGAACAGAUUAAUAAAUCUUCACAAACCAGUAACCAGCAUAUAUUAAAAAAUAGAACAUUGCUAGAACUCCCUUGUGAUCUCCUCCAAGUCACUACUUCUGCCCAAAGGUAACCACUGUUGUGACUUGUAACAUCUUUGAUUACUUUAGUAAAUGGAAUCCUACAUUAUGUACUCUUAUUGUCUGGAUUCUUAUAUGUAAUGUUGUUCGUGAGAUUCACCCAUGUUGUCAUGUGAGCAGUAUUUCCUUUAUUCUCGUUGCCAUACUGUAUUCCAUUGUAUGACUAUACUAUGAUUGAUUUAUCCUUUCCACUGUUUGUGGACAUUCGUAUGGUUUCCAGGUUUUUGCUAUUACAAAUAAAGCUGCUGUGAAUAUCUUUGUAUUUACUUUCUUUGGUAAAUAUAUAUUUCUGUUGCAUGUAUAUCUAGAGGUAGAAUUCAUUAUUUAUAGGACAUGCGUAUGUUUAAUUUUAGGAGAUAUUGCCAAAUAGCUUUCCAUAGUAGCAAUUUACACUACCACCAGCAGUGUAUGAGUUCCCUUUACUCUCUAUCUUUGAUAGCACACUCUGUCACUUAGGUGGAUGUGCAGGGGGAUCUUGUUUUGAUUUGCUUGUUUAUUUACACAGAGCAAACUUCUGCAGUGUACAAUUUUAUGACUUUGGACUGAAGCACAAAGCCAUGUAUCCAUCACCACAAUCAAGAUACAGACGAGUUCUAUCACACCGCAAAUUGCCUGAAAGAAACAUUUCAACAGAGAACCAAGUCAAAAUUGAGACGUUAUCUUCUCAAAGUGCUGAACUCCCAUCCCUACCGCAGAAGGAACUCCUCUGUUCACAGAAGCUGAAGCCAGUCCGAAGUCCAGCUCCUUCCCAAGGGUAAUCCUGUUUGGAUGUUGGAUGCACACCUGCCCAAGCAUUGUGCUCUCCAAAUGAAACCAGACAGAAUAUAUGAAAUAAUGGCUUUCAGACAUUGGACAACAGGCCGUACAAAAGUGCCAAAUGGUGAUUCCUAACAGAGGGAAAACAAGUAAGGCAUGCUUUGAGGAAAGGCCAAGUGAGCACACAGCGAGAAGAUGGCGGCUACAAGCCAGGAAGCGGGCCCUCGCCAGGAACCAGAUCUGCUAAUACCUUGAUUUUGGACUUCCAGCCUCUAGAACUGUGAGAAAUAAAUGUCUAUCAUUUAAGCCACCAUGACAGCCGAGCGGACUAAGACACCUGGCCAGUGGUUGCUGUGAGAUGGCCGACUAAGUCAGAAAAGGAGGCAUUGCAAUCACUGUGUAGUCAUUCAGGGUCCCCAGGAGUGGAAAGUGACCUGGCCUGGGACUGGCCCCUUCUGGGGAUGCUCAACCUCGAAUCUUCCGCCAGGCCUGGACUGGUUGACAAAUCUGUUGUCUUGGGUUCUCGAAGCGGCUCUUCUCCUCUCUGGGCCUUGGCUUCCUCCUCUUCAAAUGGGAUGAUAACCCUUCUCCGGGGUAGCUGUGCAGGUCAGAGUUGAGCCAUACAUGCUGGGAGUGCCCAUCUCUUGGCAGGAAGCCUACACGUCCUUCAGUCCUUCAGUCCAGCCUUCUGCCUGCUGCUUCAGACCCAAAACAUCCUGUUUGUCCAGCAGUCAGCUAGGAGCCGGAGCCACGGUGGUGAACACGCCAUCAGGACGCGGCAAGAAGCAGGAAGCCCAUCACUUGAUGAGGGUGCUUUCCUGCCAGGGAGACCUCAGGUGAAGGAGCUCCUGCUCCUGAAAGGGAAGCCCCCUCAAACUGCCUCCAAGCCUCACUUGACAUCUUCCACAGCUACCCCCUGGCCACCGGGAAGUGAGCCGCAGGUCUGAACAGCGCAGUUCUGGAGACUGGAAAUCCAAGAUCACGGCGCCAGCAGAUUCACUGUCAGGGCCUGAGUGGGGGCGGCAUGGUGGCUUUGCACCUCAACAUGUCCUCCUUACAGACUUCCCGUCACCCUGUAACCUGCAGAUUCAGAGCCUCACCUGCCUGCGGAUACAGGAUCCCAAGAACAUUAACAAGCCAGAGGACUUAGACAAAUACUUAUCAACGCAGCCCAUCUCUUGUGCCCUUUGCAUCUCGUUCCACAUUGCCAUUGGCUGUGAAGGUCAUCCCUUUUAAGUGGCACCUCACUUCAGAUGGGAGAAACAUCUGUUCCAGAAUAGAACAUCGGUGGGUGCCUGGCCAGCAGCACUCACUUACACAGAAGGGCAUCAGGCGCUCCACCUACUCUGCCUAGUCCCCCACGGCGACGGCGACAGCUGAGAGAGGAAGGAAGCCCCCGCGGCCGCCCCACCCCUGGGCUACUCUGCUCUGCACGGCCUGGGCCCGUCCUGCCGUGGUGCCUAAUUAGACCUCAGGUUUAGCUCAAUUAACAUCUUGAGCCUUUAGUUUAUGGCUAAAUCUACAUACAUUGUAAUCUAAAAGCAAACAUUUGCCUUUGCUAGCUCUAAUUUAUGCAUAGAAUCAGUUUACUGUUCCUGUCUUAAUUAUUAUUUUUUUAAUAGCUUUGCAACAGAAAAUCAAGCCUGCUGAGUUUUAUAUUAUACUCUGCAACUUAUUUUCUUGUGUUUUUUAACGUAAAACAUCUAAUUAAUCCAUGUAAUCUGAAUACUUUAUGUUUAAACCUUUCAUACUCAUAAAACAAACAAUGAAAAUGUAGCUAAUUUGUAUAGAAGCUUUUUUUGUCUUGUCAGAUACAUCAGCAAAGACAUGGUGAGAGCGUGAAGACUUUGAAACAAGAAAAUGAAUGAAAUUCCAUCACAAGUAUGUUAAAGGAGCUUUACCGCCUUAGGAAAAAGGGAUGGAGUUGAACUUGCCCUCUGGUCCCUGACGCCUCACACAUGUUCUGGAGGCCAGAGUCUGAAAUCAAGGUGUCAGCAGGGCCGUGCUCCCUCUGAA